rnacentral:rRNA from 1 species
GUGGGGAAUAUUGGACAAUGGGCGAAAGCCUGAUCCAGCAAUGCCGCGUGAGUGAUGAAGGCCUUAGGGUUGUAAAGCUCUUUUACCAGGGAUGAUAAUGACAGUACCUGGAGAAUAAGCUCCGGCUAACUCCGUGCCAGCAGCCGCGGUAAUACGGAGGGAGCUAGCGUUGUUCGGAAUUACUGGGCGUAAAGCGCACGUAGGCGGUACAUCAAGUCAGGGGUGAAAGCCCGGAGCUCAACUCCGGAACUGCCCUUGAAACUAGUGUACUAGAAUCUUGGAGAGGCGGGUGGAAUUCCGAGUGUAGAGGUGAAAUUCGUAGAUAUUCGGAAGAACACCAGUGGCGAAGGCGGCCCGCUGGACAAGUAUUGACGCUGAGGUGCGAAAGCGUGGGGAGCAAACAGG